AUUGAACGCUGGCGGCAGGCCUAACACAUGCAAGUCGAACGAGUGGCGGACGGGUGAGUAAUGUCUGGGAAACUGCCUGAUGGAGGGGGAUAACUACUGGAAACGGUAGCUAAUACCGCAUACCAUCAGAUGUGCCCAGAUGGGAUUAGCUUGUUGGUUGGGUAACGGCGCACCAAGGCGACGAUCCCUAGAUGGUAUGAGAGGAUGACAAUACACACUGCAACUGAGACAAGGUCCAGACUCAUACGUGAGGCAGCAGCGGGGAAUAUUGCACAAUGGGCGCAAGCCUGAUGCAGCCAUGACGCGUGUAUGAAGAAGGACUUCGGGUUGUAAAGUACUUUCAGCGGGGAGGCGUUACCCGCAGAAGAAGCACCGGGUAACUCCGUGCCAGCAGCCGCGGUAAGAC
rnacentral:rRNA from 1 species